UAAUUUAUCGCAUGACUCUCAACAUUUCUUAUCAGUCAUCCGGGUCGAUUGAUUGAUUUAAGUUACCUAUCGCAUUUUCCUCCUUCAGCCAUAUAUAUUUUAACAUCAUAGCAAUUAUACAAGUCAAUUGUAUCGUAGCUUACUUGUUGAACAGUUCGCCGAAGUAAGAGAAGUUAUUCCUGCUAAUACUCAAAAUAAGAGUGGGUAAAAUGUAUACCUUACCUACAGGGGCAAGGCUGUUCCUUACAGCCUCUCUUUACAUGUUUAAUUCUGCCAGUGCUCAGUUGUUGGAAGCCCAAUAUCUUGACGUACGUUUCCCGGAUGAUGCCAGUUGCAAAUUGCCCUACUAUGAUGGCAACGACAGCAUUUACCUGUUCGACGGUUGUAUGUUGGCUAGAUAUAACAUCCACCUCUUUACCAUGAAAUCAUGGAUCUGAAAUUGUGGCCAACUUUCCGCUCGAGAUCUAUAGCGCAGCUGCAAAUCGCGCGGGAAACAUGGUUUAUUUUUUUGAUGAUAACCAAAAGAGCAACAGACAAGCUCUCCAAUUGGACCUCAAUAAUUUUCGCGUCAUGUUUGUUGGACCACCCACACUACCCAUUUAUAAUUCUUAUCCAAACUCUGUUUAUACUGGGGAAUUCAUCUACAUCUUGGGAGGGCAUGUCAUAAGUACUGGAGCUGAUCCAAUUUACACGGAUGGAAUUUAUGAGUUUGAUCCAAGUACUUUUGAAAGUAGAUUCAUUCAAGUCGCAAAUCUACCACUUCGUAGGUCUGACAGUAUCUUUCUUUUGGCCCCUGCCAUGGUGUUUGUACCUCAUUCCAACAGAAUCUACUGCUUUGGUGGAGUGGAAUUGACGGACGAUUUACCCAUAUUCCUCGACUAUGUGUUUUUUAUCGACCUGACCCCGUUACGAGACCAAAAUGUAUCUGCUUCAUCGUUAAUAGCAGAACCAUUGUAGAAUUGUGUGCAAACAUCUAUUGAAGUAAAUCUAGCAAUCACAUAAAUAUAUACUUACUCUGGUAAAUAUCCUUAAUAGAAAACGCGCAUAAACCAUACAAAAUUAGGAAUCCAGCUUGGUCAGUCAAGUGGUUGACCCGUGGGGGUGAUUGGAGUGGGUGGGAUAUUAUUUUAUCUGCGAUUUUCUGCGAUACUUCUACGAUUUUUUUAAGCUUAGGGACCUUUUUGUUCGACUCCUGCGUAGACAUUUUGUCAUACAUUUUUUUGAUAACUCUGCGAAUACACCUUACACUAUGAUUGAAAUAAAAUUUAAACUAUUUAUAUUAUGCACCAAAAUUUCAAAAUUAUAGUAGAAAGCUGAAACAGAGGAUGUGAAUAGGUCCUAAUAGAAUAGUAUGAAUUAAAAUUAGAAAAUUUCAUCCGGAGGGACCCAAUGAGGUGACCUUUACCGAUUUUCAGAAAUUAACAAGAAAACCUGAAAUUUGAAUGUGCGAAUUGCACUUUAUCUGAUCGACAUGUUCGGAAAUAUAUCUGACAUAAAAUAAAUAAAUGCUCAUAUUAAAAAAAAUCCAACUCGGCGUGGAACAGUGUCAGAUUUGGAUUGAUGAUUCAGAUCUUAAUUAUGUUGAACUAUGUUAAGCUUCAAUUGCAAUUAUGGAAUAAUGCAUUUCAUUUAUUUUAUAGUCGUACUCGUAAUCUUUAUUCGUCAAUAAACCAGUAAAGCUCUCAAAUGUGUUAACAAUAUUUAACAAGAUCGAGUACAAUCUAUUCUGUAACUAGUAUUUACUCAAAAUCUGUAUUUUAAUUAAAAAUUAAUUAAUUAAUCAUCUACCUAUUAAAAUGGUUACUGUCGCAAAAAA